rnacentral:rRNA from 1 species
CCUACGGGUGGCAGCAGUGAGGAAUAUUGGUCAAUGGACGAGAGUCUGAACCAGCCAAGUAGCGUGAAGGAUGACUGCCCUAUGGGUUGUAAACUUCUUUUAUCAAGGAAUAAAACGAGGCACGUGUGCCUUUUUGCAUGUACUUUAUGAAUAAGGAUCGGCUAACUCCGUGCCAGCAGCCGCGGUAAUACGGAGGAUCCGCGCGUUAUCCGGAUUUAUUGGGUUUAAAGGGAGCGUAGAUGGGUUGUUAAGUCCGUUGUGAAAGGUUGCGGCUCAACCGUAAAAUUGCAAUUGAUACUGGCAGUCUUGAGUACAGUUGAGGUAGGCGGAAUUCGUGGUGUAGCGGUGAAAUGCAUAGAUAUCACGAAGAACCCCGAUUGCGAAGGCAGCUUACUAAACUGUGACUGACAUUGAUGCUCGAAAGUGUGGGUAUCAAACAGGAUUAGAUACCCCUGUAGUC